rnacentral:rRNA from 1 species
UAUUGCGCAAUGGAGGGAACUCUGACGCAGCGACGCCGCGUGAGCGAUGAAGGUCUUCGGCUCGUAACGCUCUGUCCUUGGGGAAGAAGGUCUUCGGACUUGACGGUACCUAAGGAGGAAGCCCCGGCUAACUACGUGCCUGCAGGCGCGGGAAUACGUAGGGGGCAAGCGUUGUCCGGAAUUAUUGGGCGUAACUGGUGUGUAGGCGGUCUUUUAAUUCAGAUGUGAAAGCCCACGGCUUAACCGUGGGACUGCAUUGGAAACUGGAGGGCUUGAGUAUCGGAGAGGGUAGUGGAAUUCCCAGUGUAGCGGUGGAAUGCGUAGAUAUUGGGAGGAGCACAAGUGGCUAAGGCGACUACCUGGACGAAAACUGACGCUGAGGCACGAAAACUAGGGGAGCAAACA